CACCGCGGUUAUACGAAGAGGCUCAAAUUGAUACUUCACGGCGUAAAGCGUGAUUAGAGGAAACAAAAACUAAAGCCGAACGCCCCCUUAGCUGUUAUACGCCUAGAGUCUCACGAAGCCCAACAACGAAAGUAGCUUUAACCAAAACCUUGAAUUCACGAAAAUUAAGAAA
rnacentral:rRNA from 1 species